CAGUCGCCGCGGUAAAACGGAGGGUGCGAGCGUUAAUCGGAAUUACUGGGCGUAAAGCGUACGCAGGCGGUUUGUUAAGUCAGAUGUGAAAUCCCCGAGCUUAACUCGGGAACUGCAUUUGAAACUGGCAGGCUAGAGUCUCGUAGAGGGGGGUAGAAUUCCAGGUGUAGCGGCGAAAUGCGUAGAGAUCUGGAGGAAUACCGGUGGCGAAGGCGGCCCCCUGGACGAAGACUGACGCUCAGGUACGAAAGCGUGGGGAGCAAACAGGAUUAGAUACCCGUGUAGUCCCUGUCUCUUAUAC
rnacentral:rRNA from 1 species